AACGAACGCUGGCGGCAGGCUUAACACAUGCAAGUCGAGCGCCCCGCAAGGGGAGCGGCAGACGGGUGAGUAACGCGUGGGAACGUACCCUUUGCUACGGAAUAGCUCCGGGAAACUGGAAUUAAUACCGUAUGUGCCCUACGGGGGAAAGAUGUUAUCGGCAAAGGAUCGGCCCGCGUUGGAUUAGCUAGUUGGUGGGGUAAUGGCCUACCAAGGCGACGAUCCAUAGCUGGUCUGAGAGGAUGAUCAGCCACAUUGGGACUGAGACACGGCCCAACCGCCCACGGGAGGCAGCAGUGGGGAAUAUUGGACCAUGGGCGCAAGCAUGAGCCAGCCAUGCCGCGUGAGUGAUGAAGGCCUUAGGGUUGUAAAGCUCUUUCACCGGGGAAGAUAAUGACGGUAUCCGGAGAAGAAGCCCCGGCUAACUUCGUGCCAGCCGCCGCCGUAACAC
rnacentral:rRNA from 1 species